UACAGAGGGUGCAAGCGUUAAUCGGAAUUACUGGGCGUAAAGCGUGCGUAGACGGUUACAUAAGUCGGGUGUGAAAGCCCCGGGCUCAACCUGGGAAUUGCAUUCGAGACUGCGUAGCUAGGGUGCGGAAGAGGGAAGCGGAAUUUACGGUGUAGCGGUGAAAUGCGUAGAUAUCGUAAGGAAGACCAGUGGCGAAGGCGGGUCUCUGGACAGUUCCUGACGCUGAGGCACGAAGGUCAGGGGAGCAAACGGG
rnacentral:rRNA from 1 species